rnacentral:lncRNA from 1 species
GUUCUCUUUUCCUAAAUUCCAAGCUGACUACAUUUGCACUGUUUUUCCAGUCAGAGGGCUAUGCAGUUUUCUUGGUUAUAAACUGAUUUGCAUAAGCAGCAGUUCACCUGAGCAGGCAUGUGGGUCAUCCUGUCUCUUAACCAGGCAUGAGCUACAUUGUUCCUGUCUCUUAACCAGGCAUGAGAUACAUUGUUCCUGUCUCUUAACCAGGCAUGAGAUACAUUGUUCCUGUCUCUUAACCAGGUAUAGGUGGGGAAUGCUCAAAUGGCCCCUGAGAGAUGGGCAGUUCCAGAUACGGAAAAAGAAGGCUUUGACCAAAGCAGCAUGGUAUCUCUGACUCAGUUUCAAGGCUUACAGUCACCCCAGUGUCCAAGGCAGAAGCAAGUGCAUUUCUUUCUUUGCAAAGCAAAGAGCCUCUCCACACCUCUGCGGCGAGAUUAACAAGAAGCUGAAGCCAUUUCAGGUGUCUGGUGGAAAUCUAGUCUGCAGAUGUACGCUGCUUUUCAGCCAGCGGUGGUGCACGCCUUUUAUCCCAGCACUCCGGUGGCAGAAACAGGCUGAUCUCUGAGUUAAGACAAGGUCAAGUUCAAGACAGCCAGGGGUAAACAGAGAAACACUGACUCAAAUAAAUAACUGAUAACAAAAAUAAAAAUAAAGGGGGCUGGAGAGAUGGCUCAGUGACUGCUCUUCUAGAGGACCUGAGUUCAAUUCCCAGCAACCACAUGGUGGUUCACAACCAUCUAUAGUGGGAUCUGAUGCCCUCUGUUUUAUGUGUGUCUGAAGACAGCUACAAUGUGCUCAUAUAAAUAAAAAUAAUAAUAAAUCUUUUAAAAAAUAAAUAAAAUAAAAAUGUGUUUAAAAAGAAAAGAAAACUUA